rnacentral:rRNA from 1 species
UACGUAGGGUGCGAGCGUUAAUCGGAAUUACUGGGCGUAAAGCGUGCGCAGGCGGUUAUGCAAGACAGAUGUGAAAUCCCCGGGCUCAACCUGGGAACUGCAUUUGUGACUGCAUCGCUGGAGUACGGCAGAGGGGGAUGGAAUUCCGCGUGUAGCAGUGAAAUGCGUAGAUAUGCGGAGGAACACCGAUGGCGAAGGCAAUCCCCUGGGCCUGUACUGACGCUCAUGCACGAAAGCGUGGGGAGCAAACAGG